rnacentral:rRNA from 1 species
ACUGAAACAUCUAAGUAGGGCGAGGAAGAGAAAUCAACCGAGAUUCCGCUAGUAGUGGCGAGCGAACGCGGAAGAGGCCAAACCGGAGGUAGCAAUAUUUCCGGGGUUAGGACUGCAACAUGUAACUUUAAUCUUUAACUGAAUGCUUUGGGAAGAGCAGCGAUACAGGGUGAUAGCCCCGUAAGUGAAAAGGAUUGAGUGCUAGCAGUAUCCAGAGUACCAGCGGACACGUGAAACCCGCUGGGAAGAUGGGGGGACCAUCCUCCAAGCCUAAAUACUACUCAGUGACCGAUAGUGGAGCAGUACCGUGAGGGAAAGGUGAAAAGUACCCCGGGAGGGGAGUGAAAAAGAACCUGAAACCUUGUGCCUACAAGCACCGAGAGUCCGUUAAUGGAUGAUCGGGUACUUUUUGUAGAACGGUCCGGCGAGUUAAUAUUUGCAGCGAGGUUAAGGAACUGGAGUUCCGGAGCCGCAGCGAGAGCGAGUCUGAAAAGGGCGUAUGAAGUUGCAGGUAUUAGACCCGAAACCGGGUGACCUAUCCAUGAGCAGGCUGAAGCGGUGGUAAGACACCGUGGAGGGCCGCACCCACGUCUGUUGAAAAAGCCGGGGAUGACUUGUGGAUAGCGGAGAAAUUCCAAUCGAACUCGGAGAUAGCUGGUUCUCCCCGAAAUAGCUUUAGGGCUAGCGUUAUUUUAGAUUACCGGAGGUAAAGCACUGAAUGGUCUAGGGGCCGCGAGGUUACCAAAGCCUAUCAAACUCUGAAUGCCGGAUAAUUGAUGAAUAGCAGUCAGACUGUGUGAGAUAAGUCUCAUAGUCAAAAGGGAAACAGCCCAGAUCUACAGCUAAGGUCCCAAAUGAACACUAAGUGGAAAAUGAUGUGAAACUGCGAAGACAACCAGGAUGUUGGCUUAGAAGCAGCCACUCAUUCAAAGAGUGCGUAAUAGCUCACUGGUCGAGUGGUUUUGCGCAGAAAAUGUAACGGGGCUAAGUGUUCAACCGAAGCUUAGGCAUUGUACUUUGUACAUUGGGUAGGGGAGCGUCGUAUGCGGGGCGAAGUCAGAGCGGAAGCACUGGUGGACUGCAUACGAGUGAGAAUGCCGGAAUAAGUAGCGAGAAUUAUGUGAGAAUCAUAAUGGCCGAAAAUCUAAGGUUUCUUGGGGAAGGUUCGUCCGCCCAAGGUUAGUCGGGAGCUAAGCUCAGGCCGAAAGGCGUAGGCGAUGCACAUACGGUAGAAAUUCCGUAACCACCGAACAUUUAAGCUAGAGGGACGCUUUCUUUAAGGUUAUCCCGGGCGAUGGUUGCCCCGGGCGUAAGGGACCGAAAUAUAGUAGGGAAGUAACUGGCGAGAGAGACGAGAAAAGCUCUGGUGUAUACUAAGGUGCCCGUACCGCAAACCGACACAGGUAGAUGGGAUGAGUAUUCUAAGGCCAACGGGAGAAGGGUUGUUAAGGAACUCGGCAAAUUGGCCCCGUAACUUCGGGAUAAGGGGCGCCUGCGAGAGCAGGCCGCAGUGAAAAGGCCCAAGCGACUGUUUAGCAAAAACACAGCUCUCUGCUAAAUCGAAAGAUGACGUAUAGGGGGUGACGCCUGCCCGGUGCUGGAAGGUUAAGGGGAGUGCUUAGCGCAAGCGAAGGUGCGAACUUAAGCCCCAGUAAACGGCGGCCGUAACUAUAACGGUCCUAAGGUAGCGAAAUUCCUUGUCAGGUAAGUUCUG